rnacentral:rRNA from 1 species
CACGUAGGGGGCAAGCGUUGUCCGGAUUUAUUGGGCGUAAAGAGCUCGUAGGCGGCUUAGUAAGUCGGGUGUGAACCUCCAGGCUCAACCUGGAGACGCCACCCGAUACUGCUGUGGCUAGAGUCCGGUAGGGGAGCGUGGAAUUCCUGGUGUAGCGGUGAAAUGCGCAGAUAUCAGGAGGAACACCAGCGGCGAAGGCGGCGCUCUGGGCCGGUACUGACGCUGAGGAGCGAAAGCGUGGGGAGCAAACAGG